CAUGCUUGUAAAAGUCUGCACCAGCAGAGGUGACCCACCAGUUCACAGCUGCUACGAUGGCAUCGUUGCGAGAAAAAUGUUGCCCAUGCAGCCCAUCUUUCAUCAGCCUGAAGAGAUGGAAGUCAGAAGGUGCCAAAUUCUGACAAUACGGUGGGUAUGGUAGGGCAGUCCAGCCAAGAUGGGCAAUGUGUUCCACGGUCUAUAAACUGGCCUGGUGUUAUCUUGUUGCAAAAGUAAAGUUGUCUUAUUCUCUGGCAGGACUCUGGAAGUUCAAGCUUUCAGCUUAGUCAGCGUUAUGAUGUAAUGGUCAGAGUUGAUGGUUUGUCCAUGUUCCAGGAAAUCGAGAAGAAUCCCCCCUUUCCUAUUCCAAAGGACAAUGUACAUCUCUUUAUCCACUGAGGGCUGCAUCUUGAACUUUGUCUUUGAUGGGGAAUUCAUACCUCUACUCCCCAGACCGCCUUUUUGACUCCGGCUUGUAGCGGUGAUGCCACAUCUUGUCACCGAUAAUGAUGCGAGCCAGGACACUGUCACCUUCAUCCUUGGAGUGGUUCAACACGUCCUGACAAACUUGCAUGUGGUGUUCUUUCUGUUCCUGUGUGAGCAUUUGUGGGACCCACUUGGCACAAACUCUGCAAUAUUUCAACACAGCCACCAUCAUUUCCAAUGCACUGAAGCUGGUAUUCAGCUCCAUACACAGUUCCCAGGUUGCUAAUUCACACAGGUGAGCUGAUGGAAACACUCUUCAUUUUGUGGCGUGACAACCAUGCAUGGCUGUCCAGAACGUGGCUUGUCCUUCACAUCGCCGUCGCAACUGGUGAAUUGCACCCCCCACCACUCCCCUGUGCCAACAUGAACUGGUUUGGUUUCCAUACACUUUCAGCAAGUGUCGAUGAAUGUCAGUGGAUGACAUUUUUUCUACAUGGAAGAAUUCAACUCCAAACCUUUACUUCAUACGCACUCCCAUGUUAGAUGCCAUUCUAUCAGACUGCCUCGCCACUACCAUCUGUCCUAUGGCAACAAAAUUAAAUGGGAUAUUGGUGGGAAGAUUCAACCUCAACUGCCAUAAACAUCUGCCUCUGAUGUUGUGCGCCAGCAUCAUAAAAUAGGAGGCAUUACUUUCAGAGCAGCCCGCGUGUCAGAAAUCAGUACUUAUAUUUCAAAAUUCUAAAUUACUCUUCUCAUUGCUCAAAAAACAAUUUUGUUUUAAAUUACUAUGAAAUUAAAAUAAAAUUGUUUUGUAUCUUCAGAUUUACUACUGGAACAGUAUGUCCUGUCUGAAGGCGGGAGAGAGAUCAAAGCUUUCUGAUGGCCAUUUUCAGAGCUAGAGUCUCCACAAGUCCAUCUUCAGUCUACAUAAUGAGAAGCUUAGUGAGCCCUCCAGCUACUGGAACAAAAGUACACGCCCAAUUAGAUGAGAGAAGAGUCCCUAUCCCUUAUCUCUGCUGCAAGAAAAAAGUAAAAAUCUGCUACACGUUCAAGGGAAGCAAUGAGAUUCAAACACCAAACAUCUCUCAAGCUACAUUCAUUUCAUUGUGCCACGCAAUAUGGACUCACAUAAGGAA